GGGGGGACAUCUCUUUUGAACCACAUGAAACUGUGGUGUCAAUGGAGUAUCUACUUGGCCUUGUCCUCGCUCUUCUUGGAGGAAGUGUGAAAAUGCAGGACUAUUCUGAUGAAAGAAAAAGUCAGAUAUUGAAUGUGGUGAAGAGUCUGGCCGGAGGGUUUGAUAUGGAUGUUAUCUUCACCAGAACGGAUGGUUUUACAAUGACUCCAGAGUGGUUGCUUCUGGAUUGCUUAGAUCUCAACCUUCGACAUGGUUGGAUUGCUGCUAGGGAUUUGUUGACCGGACCCGAAGUAUCAUUUGAAAGUCUUACGUUGGCUUCUAAUGAACCUGGUUUUCCACAUGCGGAGGAGAUCAAGAAUUUUCUAAGGGGACCUCAACUUACUCCCAUUGGCUUGGUUUCGCUGCAAGAGGACUUUGUUGAGAAUGUUCCGUGCAUUCUGUUCUGGAACAAGCAUUACCAUACUAUAGUUAUGAUCAAUGGAGUAUUAAAUUCUCUAGUCACUGAUUCUAAUUUCCUAUAUAUGAAACGCGGUUCAAAACGGCCUCGAUGAGACCAUCCACGUCGCCCUUCGAUUCAUCAGCCGUCGGAUCACGCUUCAACGGUUCGGUGAAACCUCCCUGCCUGCACUACUAAUCGACCUCUGCGAUGCUUCCAGACGAGCCGAAAGUGCGGUAAAGAAGGGAAAACUAUGCGUCUUCCUCCCAGGCUGUAGCUACGGCCCAUUCUCUUCUUUCCCAGAUCCUUCCAUCCUCCGUCCAAUCUGCUCGUCUAUUCUUUGACUUCCCAAGGCCAGAACCGGUGACAAUGUCGUGAGCCGCCCCUUCUCAAGAACGAGCUGGACGCCACCCCAUCGCUCAAGAAGGCCAUUACAAGGAUGGCCACAGCGCUGUGGCACAGGACGAGGGAGGUUGCCGCUCUGUUGGACGAAAUUCGGACGCCGAAGAAGCCUUCCAGACGAGCCGAAAGUGCGGUAAAGAAGGGAAAACUAUGCGUCUUCCUCCCAGGCUGUAGCUACGGCCCAUUCUCUUCUU
rnacentral:misc_RNA from 1 species